AACGCGAAGAACCUUACCAAGGCUUGACAUCGCCCGGAAAGCUCUGGAGACAGAGCCCUCUUCGGACUGGGUGACAGGUGGUGCAUGGCUGUCGUCAGCUCGUGUCGUGAGAUGUUGGGUUAAGUCCCGCAACGAGCGCAACCCUUGUUCCAUGUUGCCAGCACGCCCUUUGGGGUGGUGGGGACUCAUGGGAGACUGCCGGGGUCAACUCGGAGGAAGGUGGGGAUGACGUCAAGUCAUCAUGCCCCUUAUGUCUUGGGCUGCAAACAUGCUACAAUGGCCGGUACAGAGGGUUGCGAUGCCGUGAGGUGGAGCGAAUCCCUAAAAGCCGGUCUCAGUUCGGAUUGGGGUCUGCAACUCGACCCCAUGAAGUCGGAGUCGCUAGUAAUCGCAGAUCAGCAACGCUGCGGUGAAUACGUUCCCGGGCCUUGUACACACGAUAGC
rnacentral:rRNA from 1 species